CGGGUAUAUUUCCUUGAAACAACUGGUACUGAUUCCUACUGACACACCCAUCACAUAUUACUCAAAGCUGCCCCACGAUGUUACCAAAUAUUGACAUCCUGCGCUGGGUGAGGAGGUAGCCGUAGUGAAGUAAGAGCAGUACUCAGUUCUGGAAUCUUCUUACUUCAGGAGGCCAAUCACUGAGCAGUGUUCUUAUAUUCUUUCCUUCGUUAUCUGAUUUACCAAUAACUUCUGUUAAGACGCCACCCAGAGUAAACCAUUUCCAGUUCCAGUCAGGGUCUGUUGGUGUGACGGACCAGCCGGCGAGGCCAUGGUGCAGAGGCUCACCGGCCAUCAGAAGCUUCUCCAAGGCUACUCGGAAAAGAAAGGAAAGGAAAGGAAAUCCACAACACAUGAAACGUAUCCUGGGCGCCACUCAGUCUGUGACUGGCCUGCAUUUAUCUCUGACUGUCCCCUGGCAGUUUGAAGCAUUACUGCUCUGUGAUAACCAGAAGUGAGUAAGCGCUACGGCCGUUCAGAAUGUCACCCUGAAGCACCAAUUCAGAAUGUCACCCUGAAGCACCAAUAGAAAGCUCGUAGCUUCUGCCCUGGCCGUAGUUAUGUGGCCAGCAUGCUGAUGAAGAGAAGUUUACAGGACACGACUUCGGGUUACAAAUGACUGCAUAAAGGGCAUCCUCUCUGCCUAACUUGGGCUGCUCAGCCUGAGGGAUGGGCCAGCUGGAGAGCAUUCCAGACACGCUGCAAGGCCUUUCACGUCCUGGAAAAUGAGCUGACGAUUCCUAGUGCCAGUUUUCUCCAAGCCGAGCUCCAGAGACACUAAAUCAGAGGCUAAGCUGUUGGCAUCUCAGAGGAUCUCAGCUUCUGAGUGGGGCCCUCCUGGUUGAGAGGGUAACAAACCUGUGAGCACUUCCAGGAAAGCAGCCACACAGCUGCCUCCCUGAAGCAGGACACUAUUGUCAUUUUAAAAAGUGAUGUCUGCCAACUAUCAUAUGAUCUCCCUGAUAUGAGGAAGUUAAGAAGCAACAUGGGGGGUGGGGGGGCAGGAAAAGAAUAAAUGAAACAAGAUGGGAUCGGGAGGGAGACAAGCCAUAAGAGACUCUUAAUCUCACAAAACAAACUGAGGGUUGCCAGGCUGGGGUGGGGGGGGGGGGGCGAGGGGGUUCAGGAGAGGGUGGUGAGAUCAUAGACAUUGGGGAGGGUAUGUGCUAUGGUGAGUGCUGGGAAGUGUGUAAACCUGGUGAUUCACAGACCUGUACCCCUGGGGCUAAUAAUAUAUGUUAAUUUUUUUAAAAAAGGAAAAGAAAGUGAUGUCUACUCACAGAAUAUUAUGAGGCCACUAUAAAUAAAGUUUCUUUCUGACAUGCAAAAAUAAAAUAGUGAUGCCUGGGGCAA